rnacentral:rRNA from 1 species
CCUACGGGUGGCUGCAGUGGGGAAUAUUGGACAAUGGGGGCAACCCUGAUCCAGCCAUGCCGCGUGUGUGAAGAAGGCCCUCGGGUUGUAAAGCACUUUCAGUGAGGAAGAACGCCUGGUGGUUAAUACCCAUCAGGAAAGACAUCACUCACAGAAGAAGCACCGGCUAACUCCGUGCCAGCAGCCGCGGUAAUACGGAGGGUGCGAGCGUUAAUCGGAAUUACUGGGCGUAAAGCGCGCGUAGGUGGCUUGAUAAGCCGGUUGUGAAAGCCCCGGGCUCAACCUGGGAACGGCAUCCGGAACUGUCAAGCUAGAGUGCAGGAGAGGAAGGUAGAAUUCCCGGUGUAGCGGUGAAAUGCGUAGAGAUCGGGAGGAAUACCAGUGGCGAAGGCGGCCUUCAGGACUGACACUGACACUGAGGUGCGAAAGCGUGGGUAGCAAACAGGAUUAGAUACCCUAGUAGUC